AUGUUGCAGGAGGAUGGGGGUAUUGAUGAAGAUGUGAACCAUCGAAUCAAAGCCGGAUGGAUGAAGUGGCGCCAAGCUUCUGGCAUUCUCUGUGACAAGAGAGUGCCACAAAAGCUAAAAGGCAAGUUCUACAGGACGGCGGUUCGACCCGCAAUGUUGUAUGGCGCGGAGUAUUGGCCGACUAAAAGGCGACAUGUUCAACAGUUAGGUGUGGCGGAGAUGCGGAUGUUGAGAUGGAUGUGUGGCCACACGAGGAAGGAUCGAGUCCGGAAUGAUGAUAUACGAGAUAGAGUUGGGGUAGCACCAAUUGAGGAGAAGCUUGUCCAACAUCGUUUGAGAUGGUUUGGGCAUAUUCAGCGCAGGCCUCCAGAAGCUCCAGUGCAUAGCGGACGGCUAAAGCGUGCGGAGAAUGUCAAGAGAGGGCGGGUCGACUGA
rnacentral:rRNA from 1 species